UUCAGAUCUUGGGAAGUCUGCAUCAUAGCCUGACUAUAAAAGGGGGAGAAGUGAAGGCAGAAGGAAAGCUGCCACAUAGCUUGCCAAAGAUGUAUCCUGGAUGCUGGACUCUGGACUUUGCAGCCUCUCUCCUCUUCAUCCAGCCACCAAGAGGAAAUCCAGAUAAAUCUGGAAAGCUUAUAUAGAAUGGGAGGAGAAGCUCAGAGACUUCUGCUAAAAGAAAAGAAAGAACCCCUCAUAGGGACUAUGAUAUGGGUUGACAUAAAGUCUGAGAGAGAAGCAAUUUCUACAAAUUGUGUGAGGAGAUAAAAAGGGUCAUCAGAAUUGUCCCUGGCUUCUAAAUGAAGAAAUUUCUUGCUUAUAUGUUUGGAAGUUUUGAAGCUGAAGACAUUGGAGUAAGAGAGUUCAUUAUCAAGGCUUAGUCCAAAGAUAAAGUAUUUGAAGAAGACUGCCAGAAUUAUCAUCACUUUCAUGAUUGCCAUGAAGAAUGAUUAAUCAUAUAGCAGGUCUUUUCCUCCAAUAAAAAGAUAGUAUGGAUAAAGAUGCCUUUGUACAGAACUUGAGAUGAUUCUAGAUCGUGUUAAAUCUAUUGUAUUUAAUAAAGUUCAUAUCUUAUCCAUUCA